UGAAUCCCAGAGAUAACCAUAUCAAUGAUUAGCUUAUUCUUCUCCUUUCUCUCUCUCUCUCUAGUUCAAUACCAAAUAACAGUAAAUCAUAUUUUUAGCUCACACCAAUGCUGUAAAAUGGCACAAUUAAUACUUAUUUAUCAAUACAAGAUGAUACAAUUCUGUUUCCAGAAACCAUUCAAAUUGUUUUUGUUAGCUGUUUUUUUUAGAGAGCACUAUAUUUAUAUUUUGUUAUCCUAACUUAUUCUUCGAUGUUUACACUGCAUGUUUUCUAUUUUUAUCAAAUCCAGAGUAACUUGUGCCAGAUAUUUUACAGAUGUCUAGCAAUUCUAUUUUCAGACAUUACGUGCCUGAUGAUUAUAUAAGCAUGAUAAUUAUUUUUGUUUGUUUUGACUGUUAUGCAACAAAAGAAAUGAAGGGAGACUAUAAAUUCAAGCUACGCAAACCAUCAUAAAUGAUUACUAAUAAUGGAGUUAAGAUUUUUGAAUAUUUGUGCAGUAUUAUGUCAAUGAGAGUAAAUGUGUCCUGUGCUGAAUUUACAGUGUCAAUUAACCACCACCUAUUUUAACCUUGAAUUUUUAUCCGAUGUUUUUUUUUUUAUUAUUUUAAUCCCUUUAAUUUAUGGUUUUUGUUGUGUGUUUUGUUAUAAUCUUUAUUUGCACUCGGUAAAAGCAUGAUAUGUUUGUUUAUGCAGAAAACAUUACACCAGAAAUCUCUUUACCAAAAGUUCAGAUUUUUUUGUUUUCAUGAUGAAGUCAUGCACCCUCCGUUACCUAUAUGUAUAGUCCCUGGAUUUGUACAAGUCAGUUGGUGUGCGUGUGAUGUAAGUGGCAGGACAGGCUAUCCAAGAAAAAAAUUAGAUCUGCAGGCUUUUAUAUUUCUAGAAUAUCUAAUACUCAGCCAUUAAGUCGGAGAGAUCUUCUUGAAGGCUUUUAUACGUGUACGAAAUUGUCAAGAUUUUUUUUUUUAUUUUACAACAAAAAGAUGAUGUACAUGAAUAUUGCAUUGCAAAAAUCCAUGAUUAUGAUGUGAAUGUUCCAUUUAUCAUAUACACCAGUGUAAAUUAUUUCAGCAUACCUCUAGUGAUAUUUGAUAGAUAUAAGCAGAGGAAAUAUUUUAGUAAAUUGCUGUCAUAAAAAAAUUACUAAAUGUCUUGUCUAGUAUUUAUUAUUAUUUAUAAUACUCCAAAGCUUGCUGUGAAAUCCCAUAUAUGAAUCCGUAACUGGCAACAAAACCCACAAAUUUAUGUGUGGAAGUUUUGCUGUCAUGAGUGAUAUCCUAUGUCAAUUAAUUUAAAUGCAAAAGUUGUUUUUAUUUUCCAUUUUGCAGGAAAGUACUAUUUUUACAAUUAAGUGUACUUUUUUUUUAAAUUCCAGAUUACACCAUCUUUGUAAUUGAUGUUGAGUUCAUGAUAUAAUAUAUUGAGUUCUUGUAUGUUAUAAGGAAACGUUUCUCUUCCUGAUGUUGCUGAUUAAAUUUUAAGUACCUG
rnacentral:misc_RNA from 1 species